rnacentral:sRNA from 1 species
UUUUAUUUUAAAUUUUCUAUCAGACAUUUAGACGAUCGAUAUAAUAAAAAAAAAUGUUACUACGUUUUGUUAUCAAUUCGCUACAAUUAAUCUUGAUGCCACUGUUUAUCAUGGAUUUUAUCUCUAGGACAACGACCAACCGCCAAUGAUUUAACAACUUAUGCAAAGUACAUGAGGCUACUCACUGACAACUUGCAACCGCUUAAAUCAAAACCCUAGUCUUCAUCAAGAUAUGUCCACUACUACUGUUUUGUGGCAAAGUUCAGUUUGACGAGUGUCUCAUCCGUUCAUGAGAAUGGAAGGGGGUAAACAGGUAAGGUGUCUGGAAUUGACUUAUUUAUUAAUUUGAGAAAAUGAGAUAUAAUGAAGGGAGAAUAAAAAUAUAUUUGUGAUUGCGGAUACUGGUGAUAUUUUAACGUUAGCGGCGAUUGCAGAAAGGGGAAAUAAUGAAUGGCUCUAUUUUCUAGAGACUUCUUAGAAGUUAUUAUCUUUCCUUUUUUUCUGUUUUGGUUAUACCAUUUACAUUAUGUCACGUCUUCAUGUAACAAAGUUUAAUUAGGACUCUAGGUUCGGGGUUACAAAGACUAGGCGUGUUAAUACAAAUAGAAACAAAACUAUACAAUAGAAAUACGCAUCCAAUGCAUAGACAACGCAGACACCAAAAUUAUUAUGCUUGUAUAGUAUAUCCUCCAAUAUGAGUGGCUUAGUUAACAUGUAUUAUGACUUAAGUACGUCACGCUGACCAGAUGUCUGUCUAGCUUUGCGAGUAUAUCUUCAGCUGUAGAGAUGAACAGCUCCCUCCCUUUUUUUAUUUAGUCCAUCUCAGUGGGUUUAUAGAUGGACAGCUAACCAUAUUACGUUUGAUAGGAUACUGUCAACUUGUUGGGACUGUCUAGAGGUCAUACCUUAAAAGGGAACUUAGUUUGUUUACUUGAUUUAAAAAUCUCAAUUAAGAUCUGGACUUCAAGUUAUAUUUCUACACUGUACCUGGGUAAUGAGUCUGCUGGACUAUAAGAAACAUAAAAACGAGUGACCCUUUGCUACACAAAUCAUAAGUAAAUUAACGUAAUGUUACGAUUCUCUCUCCUACUCAGGCCUUCUGUAAACACUGCU